AAAAGGUCACAUUUUCUGUACUGUCUACAAGAUCAAUAAAGUAUAACAUCCCAACCGUACCCAAAGCCAUGUUUCCCUGGAGCAGUGUCACAAGACAGGUUCUCUCGAGAUCCUUGACUAGGAAUGUCAAUGUUGCCAGGAGCCAAUCUACUGCUGUGAUGGCAGCUCAUGAGAACAUGUUCAGUGCUCACGCGAAGCUGUUUUUCACCGGAGCCAUCAUGUACACACCGGGAAUCCUCAUUAUGGUCCUGAGACCAAAGCCAAAGGAAGAGUAAUUAUACUGAAACACGGGAAGAACAAUCUGUAAUAAAACAUAGGACUUUAGAGGUAUCUUCAUUAUUUAUCAAUUGUGGCAUUGUGUGCCUUUAGAAGUAUCUUCAUUAUUUAUAUUAUAUUUAUCAAUUGUGGUUUUGCUUUGUGUGUAUACGUUCAGAAACUCGUACCUAGCCAUGCAGUUGCCUCAGAAAUUCCACUUCAGCAUAUAAUUAUUAUUGAGAUA